UUAAAGUUAGUUUAAAAAGAACAUUUUGUUUACACCAAAAAAGUUAGACUUU
rnacentral:tRNA from 1 species